GAUGAACGCUGGCGGCGUGCCUAACACAUGCAAGUCGAACGAAGCUCUUACGACGGAACUCUUCGGAGGGAAGAUAUAUUAGACUUAGUGGCGGAUGGGUGAGUAACGCGUGGGUAACCUGCCCUGUACAGGGGGACAACAGUUAGAAAUGACUGCUAAUACCGCAUAAGCCUCCGGGAUCGCAUGAUUCAGAAGGAAAAACUCCGGUGGUACAGGAUGGGCCCGCGUCUGAUUAGCUAGUUGGUGAGGUAACGGCUCACCAAGGCGACGAUCAGUAGCCGGCUUGAGAGAGUGAACGGCCACAUUGGGUCUGAGACACGGCCCAA
rnacentral:rRNA from 1 species